GCUACAAGAGGCAGGCUGCUGAGAGGGUCAGGGCUUCUCCCCCAUGGUUCCCUGCUGUUUCUUUGUUGCCAUGCUGGCCCCUCUGGUGUUGGCCCUGGAACAGUCUCAAGACCUGGUGGUAAAAGAAGGCCAGCCUGUGAAUCUGGAAUGUUCCAAGAAGAAAUCCAGCAGCACAGCUAUGUACUGGUUCAUGCUGCUUUCAGAGAAGAAUUCCAGGCUGACCAGGCUGGCUUCUGUGUUUGAAGGGAAGGAUGAUGAAAUCCUACCUCCAGCUGUGGCCAUCUUUUCCCCAUCAAAGCAGGAGAUCCAGCAGAAGAGCAAGGCCACGCUGGUGUGCCUGGCCUCUGGCUUCUACCCUGACCACCUGACUCUGGCCUGGAGGGUGAAUGGUGUGAAAAGGACCGAGGGGGUAGGGACAGAUGAGUCCUCCACACAGAAUGGGAGCACCUACUCACUGACCAGCCGACUGAGGAUGCCAGCCUGGGAAUGGUUCAACCCUUUGAAUCGCUUUGAGUGUGUUGCCAAUUUUUUUCACAAUGGAACAACGCAAUCAAUAAACAAAUUUAUCUAUGGUGAUGCUGGUUGUGCACUCACAGAAGAGUCGUACUUGCGGUAUGGAAAUUCUCUGAAGCUUACUUACCUCAUCCUCUGUGGCAAAGCCUUGGUCUAUGGAGUUUUGGUGAGUGGUCUGGUGUGGACAGCCAAGAAUGGUGUCAAGUUAUCUAGAGAAUAAAUGAAGAGCCCUUGUCAUCACAUCAGCAGGAGCACGACAACUUCUCGACCUUCCCAUUGCAAAGUAUCUGUGCUUCUAAGAAUUUCUGAACACAGUAUUUUGUACUUGUCUGUUGCCAUCCUGUUCUUCACUUUGUUGUAAUCACUGCUGAGCUUUCUCUGUACUUCCAUAGGGUAUUGUAACAUACCUUUAAAAGUAGCACCUUCUUAAUGCUCAGAGGCUGAGAACUCAUCUCCUUGAUUUAUGAAUAAAGCUUUCACUUUUUUUCCCUUGAAAAAGCAUGAUUUGUUGU